AGGAACUAAAUGCACCUAAGCAGAAAUGGCUGCUGCUCACCAGCUACCUAAUUAUUGUCAGGAAAGCUAAAAAUGUAGAAUGUCUGUCAACUUUCAAAGCAGCACACAUGGAGAGCAGCGGUGGGGAAGAUGGAAAUCGCAGCUGGAGGCUAAGCCUCAAAUCUUUGGGCCUGAUUUCUAUGCACAGUCUCCAUCUACAGGAUUCUUUAUGAAAAUUAUUCCAGGCUAUGACUGCAUGAUCCUGAAAUUCCAGUCUAACCGGCACGUGCUGACUGGAUGGGUGUCUGAU
rnacentral:lncRNA from 1 species